UUAUGGAAUAAUACAAAGUCAAAAAAUACGAACUACAGUUUAAAACUUAAAGAUUUUGGCGGUGUCUUAUCGAACCAGGGGAACCUGUCUCAUAACUCGAUAAUCCACGAAUACCCUACCCUAUCUAGAUCAAACAGCUUGUGUACUGCCGUCAUAAGCACACCUCUAAGAGUCUAAAGUGUGCAAUAAUGAUUAUUCUCAUAUAUGUCAGGUCAAAGUGCAGCUCAUGAAAGGGAGAUGAUGGGUUACACCCUAUAUAAAGAUACCAAUUUUAACAUUAAAAGCUAAAUGAAGGUGGACUUGGACGUAACUAUAAUUCAAUGUUAUAACGAAAACGAAUCUAAGACAUGUACACAUCGCCCGUCACUCUCGCCUAAAGGCG
rnacentral:rRNA from 1 species